rnacentral:rRNA from 1 species
UACAGAGGUCCCAAGCGUUGUUCGGAUUCAUUGGGCGUAAAGGGUGCGUAGGCGGCGCGGUAAGUCGGGUGUGAAAUCUCGGAGCUUAACUCCGAAACUGCAUCCGAUACUGCCGUGCUUGAGGACUGGAGAGGAGACUGGAAUUUACGGUGUAGCGGUGAAAUGCGUAGAUAUCGUAAGGAAGACCAGUGGCGAAGGCGGGUCUCUGGACAGUUCCUGACGCUGAGGCACGAAGGCUAGGGGAGCAAACGGG